GGGGGCGAUUCGGCUUCGACGUGGGUUGCAAAGCAGUGCAGGGCAUACCGAGGAUCAGUUACCUCGUAAAUACAUCUGAAAAAAAAUAGUCGCAAACGACGAAAAUUACGCUUUAGCCGCUUAAUCCGGCUGAACUCCACACCGGUGGGCCUCAACGCCGGGUCUGGCAACAGACAGUGGAGUCACUAACGAGGAUCGUAUUUCGCAGGGUUACUUUGCGAAGUACUAAAUAAUAGGUAACUCGCCUUUCAUCAGCCUGCCAGCUGGCGGGUGACAGGUUAAAUCAAAUAAACUUGGCUAAGUAUGUAGAACUGUCUGUAGAGGGCUUGCGGACGCGGGUUCAAUUCCCGCCGCCUCCACCA
rfam:Nitrosomonas communis strain Nm2, complete genome.